rnacentral:lncRNA from 1 species
GUACGGGAGAAAAUGGGGAUCCUGAGAGAUCCCAUGGAGAAGCUUCCAGCAAGCUGGGCCUGGAUCCCAGCCCGCCUCUGCUCAGGUGUUCAUAGUUGUGGACGCUGAGUAUCUGCCGGUCCUAGUCCCUCGGAGGGACCCAUGCACUCCAGGACGCAGCCUCAGACCCAGGGACUGGGAGGAACGAGGGCCCUCUCCAGGAAGAAAAUGUCUCCAAACCCUCAGAACCCUCCGCAGACCUCAUUGCCAAACAAAGAAACAUGUUUUCUCAAGUUCCAUCCUCAGCUUCAAGAUGACCCUGCGUGGGCGAGCUGUGUUUGUUUGACCCGUCUGGACCCGCAUGAACCUGAAGACAUGGGCCCCAGCCGGAGAGGAGGGGCUUGUGGUCACAGCCCGGACACCAGCCGAGUCUCGGGUUCUUGGCCCCAUGACAGGUGCUGAAGAAAUGAAAGGAACCGCUUCCUCAUGGGACUCAAUUUUUUAAAAGAAGAAAUAUGUGGACAGAAAAUAUGUGACUGAAACACCAGGAGUUUGAUGUUGGUCUUGUUGCUCACUGCACAGAAAGCCAGUCACUGAGACAAUGAAUACUGCAGGGAAGAAGGAAGGCUUCAUGCAGGUGCGCAGCUGAGGAGAAGAGGAGAUGAAGACACAGAUAUGCACAGAGGGGCAGCCCUGUGAGGACACGCGGAGAAGACGGCGUGUGCGAGCCAGGGAGACAGAAACCAACUGUGACAACCCCUGAUCUCAGACUGCCAGCCUCCAGAGCUGGGGGAAAGUACGUUUCUGCUAUUGAAGCCCCCAGUCUGUGGUGCCGGGUUACGCGCCAGUACCCACAUGCCAGCCGAGACAGCAAUAGCGAGACACUCCGGACAGGUGAAGGGUGUGCGGCCUUCCCACCACCCACCUGAAAACACUGCCUAAAGAUGAGCCCAGUCCACAAAGCCUGCAUGAAAUGACGCGUUCAACAGCAGGAAAGACCUGGAUGGCAUAAAAAGAAAAAGAGUCAGGGAGACCAAGUCAGGCGAGGGGAGAAUGAGACUGGAAAUGGUUUGGCUGUGUCCCUACACAAAUCUCAUCUUUAAUUGCAGCUCCCAUAAUUCCCAUGUGUUGUGGGAGGGACCCAGUGGGAGAUAAUUGAACCGUGGGGGCGGUUUGCCCAUAGCGUUCUCAUGGUAGUGAAUAAGUCUCCUGAGAUCUGAUGGUUUUAAAAGGGGAAACUCCUCUCGCUUGACUCUCAUUCUGUUUUGUCUGCCGCCACGUAAGACGUGCCUUUCGCCUUUCACCAUGAUUGUGAGGCCUCCCCAGCCACGUGGAACUGUGUGUCCGUUAAACCCCUUUCUCUUCAUAAAUUACUCAGUCUUGGGUAUGUCAUUAUCAGCAGUGUGAAAACCGUUCACGGUGACCCAGGAACUUUGUGCUCAGCCGUCUGGGGCAAUUCUGUCCACCUCCAAUCCAUCUGUCAAAGCCCUGAGUCCCAGGACUUCAGAAAGUGACCGUGUUUGGAGACAGGGACUCGAUAGGGGAGAUUAAUACAAAGUGAGGUCACAUGGGUGACCCUAAUCCAAUCUG